rnacentral:rRNA from 1 species
AUUGAACGCUGGCGGCAGGCCUAACACAUGCAAGUCGAGCGAGCGGCGGACGGGUGAGUAAUUUCUGGGAAACUGCCUGACGGAGGGGGAUAACUACUGGAAACGGUAGCUAAUACCGCAUACCAUCAGAUGUGCCCAGAUGGGAUUAGCUAGUAGGUGGGGUAACGGCUCACAUAGGCGACGAUCCCUAGCUGGUCUGAGAGGUUGACCAGCACCACUGGAACCGAGCAACGGUCCAGACUCCUCCGGGAGGAAGCAGUGGGGAAGAUUGCAAAAUGGGGGAAAGCCUGAUGCAGCCAUGCGGCGUGUGUGAAGAAGGUCUUCGGGUGGUAAAGCACGUUCAGCGGGGAGGCGUUACCCGCAGAAGAAGCACCGGCUAACUCCGUGCCAGCAGCCGCGGUAAUAC